rnacentral:rRNA from 1 species
GUCGAACGGUAGAGGGGGCAACCCCUCGAGAGUGGCGAACGGGUGAGUAAUAUAUCGGAACGUGCCCAGUCGUGGGGGAUAACGUAGCGAAAGUUACGCUAAUACCGCAUACGAUCUACGGAUGAAAGCGGGGGACUCGCAAGAGCCUCGCGCGAUUGGAGCGGCCGAUAUCAGAUUAGGUAGUUGGUGGGGUAAAGGCUCACCAAGCCAACGAUCUGUAGCUGGUCUGAGAGGACGACCAGCCACACUGGAACUGAGACACGGUCCAGACUCCUACGGGAGGCAGCAGUGGGGAAUUUUGGACAAUGGACGCAAGUCUGAUCCAGCCAUUCCGCGUGCAGGAUGAAGGCCCUCGGGUUGUAAACUGCUUUUGUACGGAACGAAAAGGUCUCUAUUAAUACUAGGGGCUCAUGACGGUACCGUAAGAAUAAGCACCGGCUAACUACGUGCCAGCAGCCGCGGUAAUACGUAGGGUGCAAGCGUUAAUCGGAAUUACUGGGCGUAAAGCGUGCGCAGGCGGUUAUGUAAGACAGAGGUGAAAUCCCCGGGCUCAACCUGGGAACUGCCUUUGUGACUGCAUAGCUAGAGUACGGUAGAGGGGGGGAUGGAAUUCCGCGUGUAGCAGUGAAAUGCGUAGAUAUGCGGAGGAACACCGAUGGCGAAGGCAAUCCCCUGGACCUGUACUGACGCUCAUGCACGAAGCGUGGGGAGCAAACAGGAUUAGAUACCCUGGUAGUCCACGCCCUAAAC